GACGAACGCUGGCGGCGUGCUUAACACAUGCAAGUCGAACGGUAAGGCCCUUCGGGGUACACGAGUGGCGAACGGGUGGGUAACGCGUGAGUAACCUGCCCUUCACUCUGGGAUAACAGUUGGAAACGGCUGCUAAUACCGGAUAUUCAGCUCCUGUCGCAUGGUGGGGGUUGGAAAGUUUUGGUGGUGGAGGAUGGGCUCGCGUCCUAUCAGCUUGUUGGUGGGGUGAUGGCCUACCAAGGCGUCGACGGGUAGCCGGCCUGAGAGGGCGACCGGCCACAUUGGGACUGAGAUACGGCCCAAACUCCUACGGGAGGCAGCAGUGGGGAAUAUUGCACAAUGGGCGGAAGCCUGAUGCAGCAACGCCGCGUGCGGGAUGACGGCCUUCGGGUUGUAAACCGCUUUCAGCAGGGACGAAGCGCAAGUGACGGUACCUGCAGAAGAAGCACCGGCUAACUACGUG
rnacentral:rRNA from 1 species